rnacentral:rRNA from 1 species
AUGGAGGCCGUCGUGUUGGUCCUGCCUCAUGCCCAUCCAGGGAAGAGACCGGUUAACUUGCAAGAGGUAGCUUUCUCCUUCCUCUGUGCUGAUGCUGGUGGGAGAUCCUGCUUUGUCUGGGCGGAUGGCCCGGCCGCGGUGCUGGACCGGUCGAAUGACUCGGGUUCUCUUCCUUCUGGAAGGGACACUUUUCGCGGUACUCAAAGCCAAAGAUGGCGGCGGCUGUUGCAGGUGUGUUGGAUUGAUGUCCAUGCCCUCUCAGCGUUGGUGUCAAGAAAGGAGGAAGCAGCGUGGCGGCAAUUGUACCGUGGUCGAAGAUGA